AUCAUCAUGCUACUGUUCUCUCACUUCAUCAUGUGUGACCAGUUCUACUUCGAGGUCAUUUCAACCAACCUCGUGUACUGUGGCAGACCCCCACCACAUGCGACAUACACUAUAAUCUAUGCAUCCGCUGCUGUUUGACGUCUUUCAAAAUUCGAAACUCCAUAAUGGCAUAAAUGCUCCCUGCCGCCACAAUGCCUCGGACACAGUUGGCCGAAUUCGCGAAGUGUGCGAUCGCGAGAUUGGUCCUUAUUUUCACGUGAUCAUUGCGAGAGCCUACAUGUGGACUUGCUUGUGGCUUUGCGUUCAUGACACUGAUAAGCUGCUAUGGAGAACAUGCACAUUGCCCGUCAAUCCUAUUUUGGACUGCUCGACCCCUGCGCCAAACGCCCGCUGUGGCCAUUUGUUCGAUAGUCUUUGGUCCUGACAUGGCAGCCAGAACGACAAUGGCGUAAACACGGCAAGGAAUGCCGCGCCAAGAAUGUCAGACUAGACAAACGCCAAUAACCCUACGUGCAGAGUGGACGAGUACGACUUUGCAGUGUUCAACGAAUCAACGUUUGCGUGCGGAGAAGACUAGGUGAUUCAGCAACGUGAGCGGCUUCCAAUCCCUAGCCUGGUAAAUCGAGGCUAGUACGGGUUCAGCCGUGGCGAAGAAAACGUGCUAUCGGCAUGGUUCGAGAUGGAGCUGUGGCAAGCCAAUGACCUCAGGUGAUGCACUUCGGCUGCUGACAGCUGCCAGGAAACCCAAGGAGGAUUAGACCAAAAGCUCGUGUGGAAGUCGGCAAAACGUUUCAACCGGCACCGCAAUAAAUCCCCGCGUUACUGUGUUUAUGGCGGCUCUGCUCGACCUGAAGUUACGGUCCCAGCAUUCAGCCCAACUGACGAAGCAACCGUCUGCUUGGUUGCAGUGACCUUGUUGUGUCGACUCUGCAAGAUGCACUGUCCCAUUCAGGGUGCACAUGGACAUUGCUGCCUGGUCCUGAAGGUGUACACAGCGGACUGACAACUCAUCGGAUAACGUCAUGAUAAGCCAUCAGAUGUGUAUGUGUGUGUGUGUGUGUGUGUGUGUGUGUACAUGGGUGCGUGUGAAUGAAAGAUAGGGACUCACUGUCCAGAAAAAGCCACUUCAAUCAGCUGUGUGGUGAAGACCAGGCUAUAAUUUGUGGUGGCCAAUUCAUCAGCCUAGCAAGUUGUUGAGUACUGUAAUCCCAGCACAUGUUCAUCUUGCUACGUCUAACAUAGCUGUUCGCUAUCAUCACUUCCACGAUGGGAAUGUCUGAGUCUGAGUGUGCGUGCGUAUGGGUGCGUGUUCGAAUACAUUGCUGGUGCUACCAACACAGUAAUAUACCGGUAUGCAUUGUUUGUGAUCAGUCUGUAGCUGGAUUGAAGAAUGCUCAUGCACGGUGUGAUCAAGGCAAGGCUCUAACCAGCCAGCACCUGCAAUCACAGCACAGUCUACUCUAGCAUGGGAAUAGCCUAUGAGUACUGAGCUCUGAGCUUGGGAGAUUUCCUCCUUUUCAAAGUUAGAACGGCUGCAUUGUAAGUUGCUAGGAUUGGAAUCUUUUUCUUCCUCUUUUCAUUCUAAUGUGUACUCAGUCUCGUACUUUUCCGGCUUUUUUCCAUUGUUUGCUAGCAAGACCAAUGCCAACUGAUGUAUGUACACAGCGCUCUAACGUUAUACUUGCUAUCAUGAUUAUCAUUAGCCCUAAUUAUCCAGGCAUGCACCAGACUCUAACGGCUCUUUCCAUCUACACACACACACACGCACACACAGUCACGUAUGUCUGCACAAGCGAGGAUGCUGUGUCCACGCUAGGCAAGCAGACAGUGUCAUUCAAGUACAUGUUGUACACGCUGAGUCCAAAGGAAGA